rnacentral:rRNA from 1 species
UACGAAGGGGGCUAGCGUUGCUCGGAAUCACUGGGCGUAAAGGGUGCGUAGGCGGGUCUUUAAGUCAGGGGUGAAAUCCUGGAGCUCAACUCCAGAACUGCCUUUGAUACUGAGGAUCUUGAGCUCGGGAGAGGUGAGUGGAACUGCGAGUGUAGAGGUGAAAUUCGUAGAUAUUCGCAAGAACACCAGUGGCGAAGGCGGUCUCCUGGAGCAGACUUGACGCUGAGGCGCGAAAGCUGGGGGAGCGAACGGG